AGCGAACGCUGGCGGCAGGCUUAACACAUGCAAGUCGAGCGCCCCGCAAGGGGAGCGGCAGACGGGAUAGUAACACGUGGGAACGUACCUUUCAGUUCGGAACAACCAAGGGAAACUUUGGCUAAUACCGGAUACGCCCGUAAGGGGAAAGAUUUAUCGCUGAAAGAUCGGCCCGCGUCUGAUUAGCUAGUUGGUGGGGUAAUGGCCCACCAAGGCGACGAUCAGUAGCUGGUCUGAGAGGAUGAUCAGCAUCACUGGGACUGAGACACGGCCCAGACUCCUACGGGAGGCAGCAGUGGGGAAUAUUGGACAAUGGGCGCAAGCCUGAUCCAGCCAUGCCGCGUGGAUGAUGAAGGCCUUAGGGUUGUAAAGUCCUUUUAACGGGGAAGAUAAUGACGGUACCCGUAGAAUAAGCCCCGGCUAACUUCGUG
rnacentral:rRNA from 1 species